rnacentral:tRNA from 2 species
GCCGACUUAGCUCAGUGGUAGAGCGCGUGGCUUUUAACCACGUGGUCGUGGGUUUGAUCCCCACAAUCGGCG